GGGUUCGUGGUCUAGUGGUUAUGACGUCUCCCUUACAAGGAGAAGGUCGGUGGUUCGAAUCCGCCCGAACCCAC
rnacentral:tRNA from 1 species